rnacentral:lncRNA from 1 species
GUGCAGAGGAGAAGCAAGUACCUAAAUCCCAGUUUGUUCCCAUCUCAUGAAUUUAGACGUUGGAGUUUUGUCUCAAGGCAGAGAACUUCGGCUUUGAAAUCUGCUUCAACUUUUUCCACUUCACUCCAUCACAACUUCUGAAAUCAGUAUUAGAAGACAAUUGUGCCCAUCCAAAUAAUGAACCUAAUGUGUCAUAAC